rnacentral:rRNA from 1 species
AUUGAACGCUGGCGGCAUGCCUUACACAUGCAAGUCGAACGGCAGCGCGGGGCAACCUGGCGGCGAGUGGCGAACGGGUGAGUAACAUAUCGGAACAUACCCUAGAGUGGGGAUAACGUAGCGAAAGUUACGCUAAUACCGCAUACGCACUAAGGUGGAAAGUGGGGGAUUCGCAAGAACCUCAUGCUCAUGGAGUGGCCGAUAUCUGAUUAGGUAGUUGGUGAGGUAAAGGCUCACCAAGCCGACGAUCUGUAGCUGGUCUGAGAGGACGACCAGCCACACUGGGACUGAGACACGGCCCAGACUCCUACGGGAGGCAGCAGUGGGGAAUUUGGACAAUGGGCGCAAGCCUGAUCCAGCAAUGCCGCGUGCAGGAUGAAGGCCU